UCGAUGUCGGCUCGUCGCAUCCUGGGGCUGAAUAGGGUCCCAAGGGUUGUGCUGUUCGCACAUUAAAGCGGUACGCGAGCUGGGUUCAGAACGUCGUGAGACAGUUCGGUCCCUAUCCGUCGCGGGCGCAAGAAGUUUGAGGGGAGCUGUCCCUAGUACGAGAGGACCGGGAUGGACAGACCUCUGGUGUACCAGUUGUUCCGCCAGGAGCAGACGCUGGGUAGCUAUGUCUGGUCGUGAUAAGCGCUGAAAGCAUAUAAGCGCGAAGCACACCCCAAGAUUAGACUUCUCUUCCCGCCUUCGGGCUGGGAGUAAGACCCCAGGUAGAUUACCUGGUUGAUAGGCAGCAGGUGUAAGCACAGCAAUGUGUUCAGCCUAGCUGUACUAAUCGGUCGAGCGGCUUGACCAC
rnacentral:rRNA from 1 species